GAAGAACCAGGUUUUCAUUGGAAAUGAGUUGGUCACGUUUUUCCAGCCUGUUAUGUCAUGGCAAUCUGCACGCAACUACUUCUUUUUUGGUUUGGCUUUUUUUUGGGGGUUGUUUUGUUUUUUGGAUUUUUUGCAAGAACCUUACCAACUUCAAAAUAACCACGAUUUUAGAAGCUACAUAUAAAUACGUAUUUACAGUCUCUUCAUUAAGAGCUGCCAAAAUAACAAUUCGUCUCAACACACACAUAUUGAGGGCAGAAGCCAUUUCCUUCGCCACUCACAUCUCUCCAGUGUAUCACCCUAAAAUAAGUUUACCACGGCGAAGCUCCAAGCGUGACACACGCCACCAAUUAGGAUUAUUUUCGGACCUCAAAACCGAGCGAAAAAGUUGCACAAUUUUGACGCUGCUUUAUAAACCCUGCAAGGAGUCGUUUUUAAAGCACGGUACAUCCUAUGGCGCUUGGCACCAGCCCAGUCCUGCACGCCAGUGACUCACUCCUCUUGACUGUCAAAACCCCGAAGGAGAUAGCCAGGAACAGCCCUUGGGCCAGCACGGCGUGAAAGAGCCCUUCCUGCCAUGCCGCUGCAGCAGCUUCAGGAGCAGAAGUGGCAACUCGGAGAGAAAUCUGUGGACUGCUAGUAUUGAGAUGGAGGCAAGAGGUGAUGAAAGCUUUGAGGUCUUCUCCUCAGCGAGAAGCAGCAUGUCCUUUGGAGGAGUACCUGACUUAAGUUGAAGAGACUGUGAAGGAAACCUCCAUAUCCAUGGCAGGUAAACAUUUGCCUUUGAUUCUGUUUUUCUCUUCAAGUCUAGAAACCCCAGCAUUUACACUUAAAUGGAUGUGCUGUAAGCUAUGUUUAGGAAGAGAAUUUAAUCCCCUCCUGCAUGUACUUUUACACAUGAUAAUUAUUUGACUGCAGCUUUACAAAGUAUGGCUGGAGGGAUGGUUUGAAAGGGAGGAGUUACAUGGCACUGAUGAUAACUGCCUGAUUCAGCCCCACUGAAGGCAGUGGAAGCAGGAUCAGACGAUCCAGAAGAGAUAUUUUAUUUUAAACAGCCAUUAUAGACCUUCAGUGACUCAUGAUAAAUCCCUGCCUCCUGGUUUCACAUACUGGAGAACACACACAUAUGCUGGAACCAUGCAUGACUUCAGGGUCGUGUGUUCAAUGUGGACACGAAUCUCUGCAUUUUGUCACCUAAAAAAACCCCAAACAACUAAAAGAGAGCUAGAGAGCUUAUGAAGAUGACAUUUUGGUGAAUGAUGGUAUUUUUUUUAUACUAUCAGUUUUGUCCUCAUCAAACAUAUCACAGAGUUUGGGCUCUUCCUUUAUUUUUUCCAUUCUGCUUCUUCUUUCCCACCUGAUCUGUUCCUUCUAUACAAUGGAAGUUGUAGUCCAACACUCACAGAGGAGUAAAAUAACUGCUCUAUAACCACAUGAUCUGGAUGCAAUACCUUGCACGUAACUACUUCUCCUAGUGCCAAAGACAUGGCCACACUACCAGUAUUUAAUUUGUUGCUGCACAAAAUACUCUGGAAAGCUGUGACAUUGAAACACUUCCUUUAAACUGGUUCCUGCUCAGCUCUAAAGAGAUUUGGGUCUUCUCUUUGAUGGUUUUCAGUCUAAGAAAGUAACAAACGUGAAAGCUCUCCCACAAGACUUGAUCAAGUCUUGUGAAAUGGCAGUCUAAAUUUUGGCCUCUCUCUGGCUUGCGAGCAAAGCAGGACAAGUCUUUGUUUUCUUGAAAGAAACAGGGAUGGCUGUCUUCUUUAAAAUCCUGAGAAGGCAGAAAGCAGAGAUGAUUUCUACUUUCCUGUGGCAAGGUCAAUUCUAUCCCCCCUGCAGAUGGAGGUACCCUGCUAACAGUAUGAGCAAGGCACCUUUGAGAAAGGUCACCAGAGCCUGUUGCCCUGUGCUUUCUCAAGAGUGGUAAGGACUUUGUGCCACUACCAUUUAGCUAUCACCAAAAUCACAGCCAGGGCUUUCUUUGAUCAUAAUGUCUCCUAUUGCAGGAAGCUGUGAAAGCUCUGCAGUAACUUUGCUGCACACAGCUACCCCAAAAGGGGCUUUUAACAAUGGCACUUUGUUAUACAGUAUUUUCUUGUAUUGAUUUUUCAAGUUUUGGGGUGGAGAUAAUCACUGAGAAACAUAAGAUCUUGAAAAAAAAUUAAUAAUAAGUUAUAUAUUGGGACUUUUGAUUUAGUUAGGGUAUCAGUAAAAUCAUGUCUGAUCUUAUAUGCUAAUUUUUAUCCUUCUCAGUCAUUUGUAGGGGUGGAGGAGACUGCCUUCCAUUACAACAGA